UACAGAGGUCCCAAGCGUUAAUCGGAAUUACUGGGCGUAAAGCGUGCGCAGGCGGCUUUGCAAGUCAGAUGUGAAAUCCCCGGGCUUAACCUGGGAACUGCAUUUGUGACUGCAUGGCUGGAGUGUGGCAGAGGGGGAUGGAAUUCCGCGUGUAGCAGUGAAAUGCGUAGAUAUGCGGAGGAACACCGAUGGCGAAGGCAAUCCCCUGGGCCUGCACUGACGCUCAUGCACGAAAGCGUGGGGAGCAAACAGG
rnacentral:rRNA from 1 species